AAACAAAAGAAGCUCCGACUCCUCCAACCCACCCUUCGGACCCGCACCCCGCGGGGACUCUCCAGAUGCGGGUGUCCACUCCCCCGCCAGCCCUACUUACUCCUCAACGCCCCAAUGAGCAGAGAGCCGUCCUUAAUGAGCUCCUUGAUGAACUUGUUGGUUCGCUCCAGCUCAAUCUCGUGACACUGCAAGCGCUCCCUGAAAUCUGGGCUGUCCAAGUAGGAAUCGCUGAACUCCAGAGUGGGCAGCCCCAUGGCACAGGCGCUGCCAGCGGCGGCCGCGGACACGUCCGGGCCGGAGGUCAGGGCGGGGGCAGCCGGCGGCCGCGGCGGGCGCUGGGGUCGCGCGAUCGCGGGGAAGGCGCCGGGACGCGAGGGGACUGAUUGCGCGGAGGAAACGGGCCCCGAGCGCCGCGCCGCCUGCGCCGGGCUCAGUCUUCCUCCCCCGAGGCUAGGCGAGCGCAGGCGCGGGCGGCGGGCCGAGGCGCGAGUCCCCUCAGGUUGUUGUCAUCUGGACGCAUCGUCGUUCGGAACGCGGGGGCGGCGAGGCUCCGGGCCGCGGCCGGAGCAGGAAAGUUUCUCUCACGGCGCGCAGACACUUCCGGCAGUUCCACUCCCCAACUCUCUUGACAGUCGUCGGCGUUGUGAGCCAGAAGCAGCGCACAGCCGCAACUCCGGCCGGGCUGGGGAAACCCUCCCCCUCGGCGGACGCAGGCUCAGAGCGCUUGCAAAUCGCACCCGGGCUCCCAGACCCUCCUCCCCGCCGCCGCGCUCCCACCCA
rnacentral:lncRNA from 1 species